UACGGAGGGAGCUAGCGUUAUUCGGAAUUACUGGGCGUAAAGCGCACGUAGGCGGCUUUGUAAGUUAGAGGUGAAAGCCUGGAGCUCAACUCCAGAACUGCCUUUAAGACUGCAUCGCUUGAAUCCAGGAGAGGUGAGUGGAAUUCCGAGUGUAGAGGUGAAAUUCGUAGAUAUUCGGAAGAACACCAGUGGCGAAGGCGGCUCACUGGACUGGUAUUGACGCUGAGGUGGCGAAAGCGUGGGGAGCAAACAGGG
rnacentral:rRNA from 1 species